ensembl:lncRNA
GUGGGGGAGGUGACAGGUGAGGGAGGUGACAGGUGGGGGAGGUGACAGGUGGAGGAGGAGGAGGGGGAGGUGCAGCUCUGUCUCCAUGCCCCCCCCCCUCCUUUCUGAGGAAAUAUACAUAAAGGGUCUGAUGUUUCUCAUCAGAUGAGAUGAUUUAUUAUUCAUGAGUUUGUUGUUUGAUUUACAGAAGGAAUUCACAACUUUUAAAAACGCCGAAUUACAGUUUCUCUUUCCAAUGGAAGGUUCCACCUCCUGCUGCAGUUAUUAACUAACAGGACGGUAAAGACAGAACCGAUAAAUAUAUUACGCUUUUAGUGAAUAUGAAAUGUG